CAAGCAUCUUAACAGGUCCUGGUCUUUGUGUGGUAGACCAUGAUUUGGUAGCUGGUGCUGAGAUGAAAUCUCUCCUUGCAACAACUCAUUGGCUCUGCCUGUGCCAGCUGAGACUAUCAGGGAGAGAACACAC